rnacentral:rRNA from 1 species
GUUUUCCACGGGAGGCAGCAGUCGGGAAUAUUGCGCAAUGGAGGAAACUCUGACGCAGUGACGCCGCGUAUAGGAAGAAGGUUUUCGGAUUGUAAACUAUUGUCGUUAGGGAAGAUACAAGACAGUACCUAAGGAGGAAGCCCCGGCUAACUAUGUGCCAGCAGCCGCGGUAAUACAUAGGGGGCAAGCGUUAUCCGGAUUUACUGGGUGUAAAGGGCGUGUAGGCGGGAAAGCAAGU